rnacentral:misc_RNA from 1 species
GAUGAAGAACGUAGCGAAAUGCGAUACGUAAUGUGAAUUGCAGAAUUCAGUGAAUCAUCGAGUCUUUGAACGCACAUUGCGCCCCCUGGUAUUCCGGGGGGCAUGCCUGUCCGAGCGUCAUUGCUGCCCUCAAGCACGGCUUGUGUGUUGGGCCUCCGUCCUCCUCCCGGGGGACGGGCCCGAAAGGCAGCGGCGGCACCGCGUCCGGUCCUCGAGCGUAUGGGGCUUCGUCACCCGCUCUUGUAGGCCCGGCCGGCGCUUGCCGACACAUCAAUCUUUUUUCCAGGUUGACCUCCGAUCAGGUAGGGAUACCCGCUGAACUUAAGCAUAUCAAUAAGCGGAGGA